GCCAAAACGUAUUCGUUUUGUAUUCGUUUUCACUGGUCUCCUGUUCGGCGCGCCGUCGGUCGGCGUGUCAUCAAUGAUGUCUAUUACGAUUUAUUAUUAUUAACGAGUAAUACAGUGCGCUAUAUAUAUACCUAUUACGUUUUAAUGUUCUCGUCUUCCGCCGAAGCCGAUUUCGAUUUCACGUAUCGUGAAAACGCGCGUCUCGGUGUUCUUUUUUUUGUGUAUUUUGUGCGUCGUUUACCUGCUUACGCCAGGUUGCGUCGCGUUUCAACGACGUGAACUUGUUGAUUCGGUACCGGCGAUCGCCGAUUACAGUCUCGCCGGAGCGGUGGACGCUGACUGCGUCCGAGGCAACGGCGAUUUAUAGCUGUUGGUCGUGCAGAGUAUCCAGAUCGGUCGCAUCCCUACUAGUUGCUGCUUGUUUUCAUUCUGGCUGUAAGCAUAAUAUUGUGCAACCCGUGUAUUUCUAUGGAACUUCGAGUAUGAUAAUUCUUUAGCUAUUGCUAGAUCAUUCGAAUUGACGACACCUCGCAAUGGCUGCAAUUUAAAAACCAACCGCGUGGGUCAGCAUUUAUACUAUACCUAGUAAACAAUGGUUCACUAUUGAGUUGGAAUACUCGAACCAUCGGCGGAAGUAAGAACCAGUCUCGUUUCGGGAUAAUAUAUGGUUGGCAGUGAGUAUCUUUAUUAUAUUUAUAAAAUUGUAUACCCACUUUUUGGUGUAUUUUAUAUGAUUUCAUUGCAUUACAAAAUAUGAUCUUCCUCAUUAAUAAGAUUGUACCAUGCAACUUGUCAAGAAGAGAAUCUUGUUAUUCCAUAGCUAAACCAAAUGGUGGAGUGAAUUGUGUACGUCUUACAUUUGGAAGACGAACAUUCAUUAACCCAUACCAGUUGAUUAUUAAUUCUAUGAAGAUGGCCGUGUCUCCCUAUAAUUUGCAGUCUUCGAGUGCUUUAUAGUGCAAAAAUGUAUCUAAAGUUGUAUGUGACAAAAUCUG